rfam:Picea glauca, whole genome shotgun sequence.
GGGUGCGAUCAUACUAGCGUUAAUGCACUAGAUCCCAUCGAAACUCUACAGUUAAGUGUGCUUGGGCUAGAGUAGUACUGGGAUGGGUGACCUCCCAGGAAGUCCUAGUGUUGCACCCU